rnacentral:rRNA from 1 species
GACGAACGCUGGCGGCGUGCUUAACACAUGCAAGUCGAGCGGUAAGGCCCUUUCGGGGGUACACGAGCGGCGAACGGGUGAGUAACACGUGGGUGACCUGCCCUCAGCUCUGGGAUAAGCCUGGGAAACCGGGUCUAAUACCGGAUAUGACUCCAUGACGCAUGUUGUGGGGUGGAAAGCCUUGUGCGGCUGAGGAUGGGCCCGCGGCCUAUCAGCUUGUUGGUGGGGUGAUGGCCUACCAAGGCGACGACGGGUAGCCGGCCUGAGAGGGCGACCGGCCACACUGGGACUGAGACACGGGCCCAGACUCCUACGGGAGGCAGCAGUGGGGAAUCUUGCGCAAUGGGCGAAAGCCUGACGCAGCGACGCCGCGUGAGGGAUGACGGCCU